UACAGAGGGGGCAAGCGUUGUUCGGAAUUACUGGGCGUAAAGGGCGCGUAGGCGGCCCGCUAAGUCGAACGUGAAAUCCCCGAGCUCAACUCGGGAACUGCGUCCGAUACUGGCGGGCUUGAAUCCGGGAGAGGGAUGCGGAAUUCCUGGUGUAGCGGUGAAAUGCGUAGAUAUCGGGAGGAAGGCCGGUGGCGAAGGCGGCGCUCUGGAACGUACCUGACGCUGAGACACGAAAGCGUGGGGAGCAAACAGG
rnacentral:rRNA from 1 species